UACGGAAGGUCCAGGCGUUAUCCGGAUUUAUUGGGUUUAAAGGGAGCGCAGGCGGACCUUUAAGUCAGCUGUGAAAUACGGCGGCUCAACCGUCGAACUGCAGUUGAUACUGGAGGUCUUGAGUGCACACAGGGGUACUGGAAUUCAUGGUGUAGCGGUGAAAUGCUCAGAUAUCAUGAAGAACUCCGAUCGCGAAGGCAGGUAUCCGGGGUGCAACUGACGCUGAGGCUCGAAAGUGCGGGUAUCAAACAGG
rnacentral:rRNA from 1 species